UCCGGUUUGUCACCGGCAGUCACCCUAGAGUGCCCAACUGAAUGCUGGCAACUAAGGUCAAGGGUUGCGCUCGUUGCGGGACUUAACCCAACAUCUCACGACACGAGCUGACGACAACCAUGCACCACCUGUCACCGUUGUCCCCGAAGGGAAAACUCUAUCUCUAGAGCGGUCAACGGGAUGUCAAGACCUGGUAAGGUUCUUCGCGUUGCUUCGAAUUAAACCACAUGCUCCACCGCUUGUGCGGGCCCCCGUCAAUUCCUUUGAGUUUCAGUCUUGCGACCGUACUCCCCAGGCGGAGUGCUUAAUGCGUUAGCUACAGCACUAAAGGGCGGAAACCCUCUAACACUUAGCACUCAUCGUUUACGGCGUGGACUAC
rnacentral:misc_RNA from 1 species